CCAGACUCCUACGGGAGGCAGCAGUGGGGAAUAUUGCACAAUGGGGGAAACCCUGAUGCAGCGACGCCGCGUGGAGGAAGAAGGUCUUCGGAUUGUAAACUCCUGUCCUUGGGGACGAUAAUGACGGUACCCAAGGAGGAAGCACCGGCUAACUACGUGCCAGCAGCCGCGGUAAUACGGAGGAUGCGAGCGUUAUCCGGAUUUAUUGGGUUUAAAGGGUGCGCAGGCGGAUUUUUAAGUCAGCGGUCAAAUCGUGGGGCUCAACCCCAUCCAGCCGUUGAAACUGGGGAUCUAGAGUGUGCGAGAGGUAUGCGGAAUGCGUGGUGUAGCGGUGAAAUGCAUAGAUAUCACGCAGAACCCCGAUUGCGAAGGCAGCAUACCGGUGCACAACUGACGCUCAGGCACGAAAGCGUGGGUAUCGAACAGGAUUAGAUACCCUAGUA
rnacentral:rRNA from 1 species